rnacentral:rRNA from 1 species
AUUGAACGCUGGCGGCAGGCCUAACACAUGCAAGUCGAACGAGUGGCGGACGGGUGAGUAAUGUCUGGGAAACUGCCUGAUGGAGGGGGAUAACUACUGGAAACGGUAGCUAAUACCGCAUACCAUCGGAUGUGCCCAGAUGGGAUUAGCUAGUAGGUGGGGUAAAGGCUCACCUAGGCGACGAUCCCUAGCUGGUCUGAGAGGAUGACCAGCCACAGUGGAACUGAGACACGGUCCAGACUCCUACGGGAGGCAGCAGUGGGGGAUAUUGCACAAUGGGCGAAAGCCUGAUGCAGCCAUGGCGCGUGUAUGAGGAAGGCCUUCGGGUUGUAAAGUACUUUCAGCGGGGAGGCGUUACCCGCAGAAGAAGCACCGGCUAACUCCGUGCCAGCAGCCGCGGUAAUUC